rnacentral:rRNA from 1 species
GACGAACGCUGGCGGCGCGCUUAACACAUGCAAGUCGAACGGAAAGGCCUGCUUUCCCUUGUGGAUUGCGGGUACUCGAGUGGCGAACGGGUGAGUAACACGUGAGUGAUCUGCCCCCAACUUGGGUAUAAGCCUGGGAAACUGGGUCUAAUUCCCGAUAGGACUGCAGGGUGGUGCCUGUGGUGGAAAACGAUUUUCUAGUGGUUGGGGAUGAGCUCGCGGCCUAUCAGCUUGUUGGUGGGGUAAUGGCCUACCAAGGCGGCGACGGGUAGCCGGCCUGAGAGGGUGGACGGCCACAUUGGGACUGAGUGACGGCCCUGACUCCUACGGGAGGCAGCAGUGGGGAAUAUUGCACAAUGGGCGGAAGCCUGAUGCAGCGACGCCGCGUGGGGGAUGACGGCCUGCGGGUUGUAAACUCCUUUCGACCGCGAGGAAGCCACCUUGUUGGAAGGGUGGUGACGGUAGUGGUAGAAGAAGCACCGGCUAACUACGUG